rnacentral:lncRNA from 1 species
GACAGAGUGAGACUCCCACUCAAAAAAAAAAAAAAAAAAUCUCCACAGUGUAACUCUGCUGUGGUUGGUGUGUAUCUGCCUUUUUCACUCGUUUUUAUAGAUGAAAUACUAUUUUAUGAUGCAUCCCAACAAGUAUUUGUUAAUUUCAAGACAGUAGUGGAUAAAAGUGAGGUGCAUGGGGGGUUAAGGUAAGAAAGAAGCUGGGAAGGCCGGGCACAGUGGCUCACGCCUGUAAUCCCAGCAUUUUGGGAGGCUGAGGUGAACAGAUCACCUGGGGUCAGAAGUUCGAGACCAGCCUGGCCAACAUGGUGAAAUCCUGUCUCUACUAAAAAUACAAAAAUUAUCCAGGCAUGGUGGCGGGCGCCUGUCAUUCCAGCUACUCAGGAGGCUGAAGCAGAAGAAUCACUUGAACUUGGGAGGUAGAGGUUGCAGGGAGCUGAGAUUGCACCACUGCACUCCAGCCUGGGCAAGAAAAGCGAAACUCUGUCUCGAAAAGAAGAAAAAAAAAAGAAGAAAAAGCUGGGAAGAAUUAUGUUGCCAUUGAAACUUAGAAAUAUACUUCAAAUAGCCAAAGAGUUUCAUUGUUUUGGCUGCUUCACUUAUUUACACACUUUGCCCCUGUGAGCAGGCACUGAGUGUUUGUCUCUGGGCUGGCUGGCAAGACAGAGGGUGGUGGAGGUGCUUGGAAGAUCUGUCCGGAAGGGCCGGGCAGCCUGACGGAAGGUCGUGCAAGCUUCCCGUCUGUGGGUGCAAGAGGAAGCUCUGGAUGGGAGCUCUUUGAAGGGAAGGACUGUGUCAGUUCAUUUAUGGGGCUCCACAGUGUGCUGGUGCCUGGCAGAUGGCAUGGACUGACACAGCCACUGCACUCACCUUAAAGCUGUCAGCUGGGGACAGUGGUGCACCUGUAGUCCCAGCCACUUGGGAGGCUGAGGCGAGAGGACUGCUUGGGUCCAGGAGUUGGAGGCUACAUUGCAAACUAUGAUUGUAUCUGUGAAUAGUCACUGCAGUGAGACCUGUCUCUUAAAGAAAGACAAAAAGGAAAAGAAAGCUGUGAACAGAGCAGUUGGUACUCAAUUCGUCUUUAAAAAAAAAAAUCAAUGGUGGGCCAGGCGCGGUGGCUCACACCUGUAAUCCCA